rnacentral:rRNA from 1 species
UACAGAGGUCUCAAGCGUUGUUCGGAUUCAUUGGGCGUAAAGGGUGCGUAGGCGGCGCGGUAAGUCGGAUGUGAAAUCUCGGAGCUUAACUUCGAAACUGCAUUCGAUACUGCCGUGCUUGAGGACUGGAGAGGAGACUGGAAUUUACGGUGUAGCAGUGAAAUGCGUAGAUAUCGUAAGGAAGACCAGUGGCGAAGGCGAAUCUCUGGACAGUUACUGACACUGAGGCACGAAGGCCAGGGGAGCAAACGGG